GUCAAGACCCAGGAAGUCACAGCUGCGGAGUUUUGGCUGCUGCCGUGAACCGAGCUAGCGGGCGCGCCUGGGGUCCCAGUGUCUCGCGUGAGGCGCGGGAGCCUCCUGGUGACUCCUGGCUCUCACUCUGCGCGGAGGGACUCGAGCGAGCGCCUGGAUGCGGGGCAGAGGCGCGGGGAGAACGCGAGGCCUGGCCUGCCACCCGCCGCCGCCCCCUGGGAGCCCGGGGGCGCGGGUCUCUCCUGGGCCUCCGGUCCGCGGGCGAAGCGUGCCGCCUGGAAUAAUCCGAGGCCGGAGAAGUGUUUGCUCUGGGUGAAGCCAGCCACAAUGUCCUGACGCUACUCAGCCUGCUGCAACCACAGGAGUUAGCACGGAAGUGGAUCCUCGAGGAGUUGAACCUUGAGACGAUCAGAAACUUUUUUUUUUUUUUUAAGAUUUUAUUUAUUUGAGAGAGAAUGAGUCGAGUAGGGGCCAGGCAGAGGGAGAGGGAGAAGCAGACUCCCCGCUGAGCAGGGAGCCAGUGCAGGGCCUGAUCCCGGGAUCCUGAGAUCAUGACCUGAGCUGAAGACAGUUGCUUGAUAGAGUCACCCAUGCGCCCCGACCACAGACUCUAGAGAGACUCUUAGCCAGAACUGUCUAGCUGUGCUGCCUCCUGACCCACAGAAACUGUGAGGCACUAAGUGUUUGUUACUUUAAGGCACUAAAUUAAGGGUAAUUCGUUAUCCAUCGUAGAUAGCUAAUGGCAAUUUGUAGACCUUCUGUCUUCAAGCCCAUCCACUGUGUUGACGCAGAGGUCCUGGGGAGACCUCAUGCUUAGCAGGUCCCAGAGCAACUCAUUACCUUCCCCACAGACCUGCGUGGGGCUCACAGACCCGAUGCGGGGCUCGAUCCCAGGACCCUGGGAUCAUGACCUGAGCCGAAGGCAGAGGCUUUAACCCACUGAGCCACCCAGGCGCCCCCAUAAUUAGUAUUUCUUUAAAGAAUAUAUAAUGCAUUGGAAUGACAGACACGGUUUACAGGAAAAGACUGUGGUUGUCUACGUACUGAAAUCUGAUGAGGGGAACAGCAGCGAGGACCAAGUGUAAGACUUGACCAAAGGGGCACCUGGGUGGCUCAGUCGGUUGAGCAUCUGUGUGACUGUUGAUCUUGGCUCUGCUUAUGAUCUCAGGGCCAUGAGUUCAAGCCCCGUAUUGUGCUGCACACUGGGCAUGGAGGUUACUUAAAAAAAAGAAAAAGAUCUGACCAAAAAUUGGAUAUAUUAGGAGGGAAAUUCAGAUUACUCCCAAAUUCUGAAUACCUGAGCACAUGAGUGGUGGUGUUAGUAGAACUUGGGACAGCAGGAGGAGCAGAUUUGGGAAGAAAAAUACGAGAUUCUUUUUCAGUAUUUUGAGCUUGACAUUCCAGGGGCACAUCCAGGAUCUGGGCCGUGGGAGGGAAGGUUCUUGAAGGAAAGAAGGAAGUUUGGAAGUCAGAGAAGGGACAGUUAACAGCUGUGGACGGAUGAGCGCGCACAAAGUGGGACAGGGGAAGAGCAGGGCUGAGCAGAGCCCACAGUUUGGGGACAGGAGUAUGGGAGCCCCUGUCGGAGCCUGAGAAAUCAAUCCAGGAUGUCAAAGGAAACCAGGAGGGCGUUGUGUUCCCUCUGGAGGAGCGGAGAUGCUGGGACAGGGUGACAGCGCGUCAGUACUGAGGAAAUUGGGAAGACACACUGAAUAAGGCCGUGCUGGUGGGCGGUGGUUGGGGGGGUACAGUGAGCUCGCAGAAAGCCGUUUCGGCAGAAGGAUUAUGAGCAAUAGCAGGGGCGGAGGAAGAUGGAGCGCGGGGAUGUGUGUCACCUGUACCAGGAGGGUAAAGGAAGUAAAGUGACCAUGUUUUCGUGUCCCAGGGACUUCGUUAGGGUCUCGGUUCUUUCAUCACCAGGGAUAGCGUGCUUAGUGACACUGCCUCGUCUCUCUAGUGGCAUUAUUGAAUUACUUGUUAGCAUCUUUGGUUUCCCCACAGACUGAACCUGUGUGGCCUCACGGGACUUUGGGUCCCCGGUGCCCAACUGUGUGUGCGCGCCCGGCCGCGUGAGUUCCCAGGGUGGGCUGAGGUGCGGGAGGGUGUGAGGCCCACUGUGAGCCGCGUUGUCGGCCCCCGAGUACCGCGUGGACGCAGGUGGCUCACAAACCGAGAGGACAGCGGUAGUGAGAGUUCCUCUCUAGAGUCCGUGCCCUACCCUGUCCUGGUAAGACCUGCUUGUUCCGCAAGAACCGGGGGUACACAUAGGGCCCACCUGGCACGCGGGGGAACAGACCCUUGCUCCCAGUGUGGCUCUUCCCGGUGCACUGUCUUCAUUCCUUCCUCUGAAGCAGUCUUUGUGCUUCCCAUGUGCUCUUAAGACAGUGCCUGCCGGGCACCUGGGUGGCUCAGUGGGUUAAGCCUCUGCCUUCGGCUCAGGUCAUGAUCUCAGGGUCUUGGGAUCGAGCCCUGCAUUGGGCUCUCUGCUCGGCGGGGAGCCUGCUUUCUCCUCUCUCUCUGUCUGCCUCUCUGCCUACUUGUGAUCUCUCUCUCUCUCUGUCAAACAAAUAAAUUAAAAAAAAAAAAAAAAAAAAAAAAAAAAGACAGUGCCAGCCUUCCUGUCCUUUUCCUGCUCCCUUCCUUUGGUCCUUUUGUAGGUGAGUGCUGGUUCUCCGGAAUCGUUAGAGGAUUCAGUGAGACAGCAAUUACCUGCAUAGCACCCAGCACACACAUAAUAGCACAAGACUUGCCCCGAGCUGAAAAUACUAUGACCGAAUGGACUGGAGGUGAACUGUGCAUCUUAGCUGCUGAAAGAGGGAAGGAGGGUUCAGGCAGGGGAGAGCUGGCCAGUCAGUCAAGACAGAAGACAUUGUCAUUAGACCCAGUUUUCUAAAGAACACUGGGCGGGCAGCAAAGUCUCGGGCAGUUAGGGGGCCUCCAGCAAUGGUGGGGCCGGGUGAGCACCACGGGCACACCGAGUCACUCAGCCCUGCGGAGUGUACCAGCCCCUCCUUGGACACGACUUAGGAAGAAAACUUUGCAAUCCAGCCAGCAUCAGUCUAGAGGAAUUACACUCCUUGAGGAAUGUCAUAUUCAGGCCAAUCUGAAAAGUGAUUUCUAGACUUCUGCAUGCAGAACAGGUUCUCAGUACCACUUGUCUCUUGGCAUGGAAGGUCGGCAGCUGAUGAGUUCUUGGAGGACCGCGAUCACACUGGUAGAUACCUGCUUGAUGUCCUUAACAGUUCAGUACGUCUUUACUCAAAUUAGGAAGGUUUUCAAGUAGCAUGGGAGGUCAUCAAUAAAAGAUUUUAUUUAUUAAUUUGACAGAGAGAAAUCACAAGUAGACGGAGAGGCAGCCAGAGAGAGAGAGCGAGGGAAGCAGGCUCUCCGCCGAGCAGAGCGCCCAAUGUGGAACUCGAUCCCAGGACUCUGAGACCAUGACCCGAGCCGAAGGCAGCGGCUUAACCCACUGAGCUACCCAGGCGCCCCUAUUUGUUUGCAUUUCUAAUGAUAGCUCAAAGAACGUUGU